rnacentral:rRNA from 1 species
GCCCAGUCGUAAACAAUCUAUUCACACCAACCAGCGCCAGGGAAUUACGAGCUAUGCUUAAAACCCAAAGGACUUGACGGUUUCCCACCCCCCUAGAGGAGCCUGUUCUAUAAUCGAUGAUCCCCGCUUUACCUAACCACCCCUCGCCAUCAGUCUGUAUACCUCCGUCGAAAGCUUACCAUAUGAAUGCUUCAGUAAGCCCAAUGAUCCCCAUCAACACGUCAGGUCAAGGUGCAGCUUAAGGAGUGGGAAGUGAUGGGCUACAAUUUCUAAACUAGAACAAACGAAAGACUAGGUGAAACCCUAGUCAUGAAGGCGGAUUUAGUAGUAAAAAGAAAAUAGAGUGUUCUUUUUAACAUGGCUCUGGGACGCGUACACACCGCCCGUCACCCUCUUCAACAAUAUUUUUAACUAGUCCCUAACCUUUUACCCCGCAUCUUAGAAGAGGCAAGUCGUAACAUGGUAAGUGUACUGGAAAGUGCACUUGGUACACAAAAUGUAGCUUAAUAAAGCCCCCCGCUUACACCGAGAAGUUAUCUGUUAGACCCAGAUCAUUUUGAGCCUAAAAUCUAGCCCUUACACCCACAUGACCCCGCCAAUCCACCGCCUUAAACAAAACAUUUUUAUAUCCUAGUACAGGCGAUAGAAAAAUUUCUAAGCGCUUCAGAUAAAGUACCGCAAGGGAAUAAUGAAAUAGAAAUGAAAUAACCUAAAGCCCUAAAUAGCAAAGAUACCCCCUUG